UACGUAGGGGGCAAGCGUUGUCCGGAAUCAUUGGGCGUAAAGAGCGCAUAGGCGGCCCAGUAAGUCCGCUCUGAAAGUCAGGGGCUCAACCCCUGGAUGCGGGUGGAUACUGCUGGGCUAGAGUCCGGAAGAGGCGAGUGGAAUUCCUGGUGUAGCGGUGAAAUGCGCAGAUAUCAGGAGGAACACCGAUGGCGAAGGCAGCUCGCUGGGACGGUACUGACGCUGAGGCGCGAAAGCGUGGGGAGCAAACAGG
rnacentral:rRNA from 1 species